CGCGGGCCGGGAGAGGUUUUAAGGCUGUCAACAGACACAAAUCUCCUUUUUACGCAAGCAAAGCGUAUGCUGACGGAUAACAGUCGUAUGCUUCCCCAUGCUCACAUAGGGGCAUGUAGGCUUCAGUAUGAGAGGAGUUCCCGCCUGCACUGAAAGAAUAGCUCAACAUCUGUCAUCCCAUUCUCUGCCAUGGCCCAAAAUCAGGAAGACUACAGCUGUCCUGCUCCUUUCAGAUACUUCUGGGAUAGAGAGGUUGGGAAUUAUACUACAACUGCAGAGUGCUGGAUGAAGAUGAAAAUGAGAGAUAUACAUUAGUGCAUUCCUUGCAAGCCCCAAAAUAGUAUCUUUUAUGAUAUCUCUGUAUGGAAAAGAGGGAAAGGAAUGGGGAGGAAGGGAAGAGGCUGGGAAGAAUAUGUUAUCAUUUUAAUAAAUGUUUAACCACAA